UCAUGGUUAAGGCCUACAUGGACAAGAAGCUGAAGGUCGAUGAGUUCAUUACGCACACAUUGCCUUUGGAUCAGGUCAAUGAUGCCAUUGAAAUGAUGAAGCAUGGCAAAUGCAUCCGGACAGUGCUUAAUGUUUCUACAGAGUAGGAUCCAAGAAGCUUCUGUCGAUGACCCUGAAGGAACUCAUUAUGUUUGAAAAUCUCCAAUUAAUAUUCCUACAUAUAAAAGAAAGCACAAAACAAGAUUGACGAUCAUAUUCUGCACAUGUCUCUGACAACUUGAAUUAUAUGAAGACUGUUUAUGUGAGAAUGAUCUGUUGUCUUUAAU